GUCAACAUAUCGAGACACAUACACCUCGUAUAUACACGCCUAUUUAUUUCGUCAAGUUCUCCGCAACUUACACUCAAAAAUCAUCAUGUACAAGUUAAUGGUGAGUACGAUAUGAUAAAUGUAAUUCCUAAUUUUUUUUUUCUUUUAAAGAUACAAAUUAUUUCUUAUUUUGUUAAACAUUUCGACCGCGAAUCGCCACCAAAAUAUUCACAGUUUAUGUAGACACAGUGUUAUUAAUAUAACUUAAAAUUAACUUUAUUUCUAAUUUUAAAACAGCAUAUCUCUUUGCUAUCAAUGUCUAUAUUAUUAUUUUCAUUAAUAAAUCGAUGACGGAGAUGCAAUAACUAUUGUUCGGUUCAAUAAUGUAUUUAGUUUUUCAUUUUUGUCCCCAUAAAAUCCACGGUAGCAAGUUUAUAAAUUUAUUUCGAAACAAAAUUUUGGAGCAGAAAAUGUUUGUACUCAUUUCGAAUCGUAAAUUUCGUGUAUUUUACAAAAAUAAUGUAUGUACAUACAAUUAUUUUCUGUAGAAAAAUACUUGGCGAAUCGACUGAUUGUAUUUUAGGCAACUUAAUCAAUGUAAACUAUCGUAAAUUAAAACGUAAAAAAAUUUUUUUUUCUGAAUGUGUCUUAACAAUUAAUUAAUGAAUGAAUUGUGUUUCUAUUUUUCCGUUUUAAAAGUAUGAAAUUGUAUCUAAAGUAUAACGAUCGUGCAUACAUUAUACUUUAUACUAAUCUUGGCGGGUCUUUAAAGAUUACAUUUUUUGUUAACAUUUUUUAUUUCUAGGCCUAUUAUAUAAAAAAAAUAAAUUUUGAAUAUAAAAAAUAUUAUUAUUAUUUUCGAGUUUUCUACUAUUUAAAAUAAAACUAGCUAAAUUUCCAAAAUUAAUAUAUGUGUGAACCCGACAUAUAAUGACAUAUAAAAUUAAAUACAAUGUACUAAUACUUUACCUAUUUUAUAAAAAUUAUAUAAUUCUAAUUUUAAAAUAAUUAAAUACAUUUUUCUGUUUUCAGUUAUUGAUCGUCGCCGCUUUGGCUUUAAUCGCUGUCGCUUCUGCUCAAUUCAUUUACCGGCCUUACGCACCAGUCUACACCUACCCGUCUUACCCCCUCACUUACCCAAUAACUUACAACCCAUACGUCACUUUACUUCGCCGAUAGAAAAAUCGUAUUUCUAUAUGAUGUGAUAUAUAUAAACAAAGUAAGCACACAUUUUAUACGAUAUACCUACUUGUAUAUUAUUCAAAAUAUUUGACUAUUUCAAUUAUUUCAACGUUUUUAAAAAACUAUGACGUUUCGAAAAACGUAUUUAAACGGUAUUAUUUUCAUUCAAUUUGUUAAAUAUACUUCUAUAAAUUCCAUUGCUCUUUUUAAAUUUUCUCGUAAAAUAACACUUUUAAAAACCCUAUUUUACAUGUGUAAAUACCUAUAUUUAUUUAUUUUUAUUAAUUAUUUCAUUUUUUAUUUUUUACAGAACCAGAAAAAUGAAAAUACCUCUAAUUUAUAAUUAUAAGCAUUCGGAGGUAACCUCUGCUGUAAAAAUAUCAACAAAGUAAAAUGUAUUCUUCGAACAUACUUUUUUGUUAUAAAUAUUAUAAUUUUUUACUGUAAUGUUUCAUAUUGUCACAUUUUCAAACAUAAAAUCAUUGUAUUAAGUAAAUUAUCUAACUAAUAAAUAUUAUUCUUCGUAAAUGACUUACUGGACGUAUAUUAUUUAUUAUUUAUUCAUUAUGGACCAACUGUAGUACCU